rnacentral:lncRNA from 1 species
CAGACCCAGUGUUCCCCACACCUCAACACAGUAAGACAGACUACAGACCCAGUGUUCCCCACACCUCAACACAGUAAGACAGACCCAGUGUUCCCCACACCUCAACACAGACUACAGACCCAGUGUUCCCCACACCUCAACACAGUAAGACAGACUACAGACCCAGUGUUCCCCACACCUCAACACAGUAAGACAGACUACAGACCCAGUGUUCCCCACACCUCAACACAGACUACAGACCCAGUGAUCCCCACACCUCAACAGACUACAGACCCAGUGUUCCCCACACCUCAACACAGACUACAGACCCAGUGUUCCCCACACCUCAACACAGACUACAGACCCAGUGUUCCCCACACCUCAACACAGUAAGACAGACCCAGUGUUCCCCACACCUCAACACAGACUACAGACCCAGUGUUCCCCACACCUCAACACAGUAUGACAGACUACAGACCCAGUGUUCCCCACACCUCAACACAGUAAGACAGACUACAGACCCAGUGUUCCCCACACCUCAACACAGACUACAGACCCAGUGAUCCCCACACCUCAACAGACUACAGACCCAGUGUUCCCCACACCUCAACACAGACUACAGACCCAGUGUUCCCCACACCUCAACACAGACUACAGACCCAGUGUUCCCCACACCUCAGUAAGACAUGUACACUGACCUUCACCCUCCUCAGGAUCCCAGUGAAAACCAACAGCCUCCUUCUGGAUACAAAGCAAUCCAUCUUUAUUAAAACGUUUCAACUUGUUAGGAUGAAGAGAGAUGACAGGUGAUGAGACGUUCGUGCUCCAGCUUCGACUAGUGGAAAGUCAUGUUGUAUGUUUGAGAAGGGUGAUUCCCCGCUGCUUCCCUGCUGGUUAAUACCUAUAUGUACAACGUUACCACAGUCUUCCUCAGCUUCCUCCUACACAAUACUACAACCAAAGAGCACCACUGGUGAAAAUAUUUACAGACAGACAAUGUACAUUUUAGGUGUUUUUCCUUUAUGCCAUCUUUUUUAAAACAUUAAAGCAUUUGAAACUCUGUAGGUGAAAGUAGCCUCUCAGUGUGUAUCGUUGUCCUCGUCCCGUUCUACAGCACAACAGCCCCGAGUCACACAGCUGAGAGGACAGAUCCACAGACCCACUGGCUCUGACCUGUCAGGAAACUGACCUGGAGUCAGGGUGCGCAUCACAAAUACCACCUUAUUCCCUAUAUAGUGCACUAGUUUUGACCAGAGCUUUUGGCCAUAGGUCUCUGGUCAACAGUAAUCACCUACAUAAUGAAUAGGUUGCUAUUUGGGAUACACCCUUAGUCAGACCUGACCAGCUACAGGAGGUACUAAGGAAGUGACAACAACAACAACAACACCACCACAGUAAAACAAGAUGGAGGAAUCUGACCACAGAACAGAUAUUAUGUGAAGACACUGUGAAAGAGUCGUACCAGAAUGCUGCCUUUUGAAAAAAUAAACAUGUUGCCUUUGAAUAGUAUCCUGCCUGAUUCAGAACUAGCCUUUCACCCAGGGUAUAACAUCAAUCAACAGGUGAAUCAGAACUAGCCUUUCAUCCCAGGGUAUAACAUCAAUCACCAGGUGAAUCAGAACUAGCCUUUCAUCCCAGGGUAUAUCAACAGGUGAAUCAGAACUAGCCUUUCAUCCCAGGGUAUAUCAUCAAUCAACAGGUGAAUUAGAACUAGCCUUUCAUCCCAGGGUAUAUCAUCAAUCAACAGGUGAAUCAGAACUAGCCUUUCAUCCCAGGGUAUAACAUCAAUCAACAGGUGAAUCAGAACUAGCCUUUCAUCCCAGGGUAUAACAUCAAUCAACAGGUGAUUCAGAACUAGCCUUUCAUCCCAGGGUUUAUCAUCAAUCAACAGGUGAAUCAGAAGUUGCAGUCUGUAGUAAAAGUGGUCAACAAGACAAGAGGAAGAAACCAACCGUUCAUAAAUUCACAGGAAACUAUUAAAAUAAUUAUUUACAAAAUAACCAAUAUACUACAGAAAAAAACCUACUGCACACACCAGUACUUUUGGAGAAAAGAAAAAUAUAACUAUAUUUAAAUUAACUUUCUUCUUUUUUUUAAACAAUAUAAAAGCUAUGCUCAAAAGUGGCUUUUUCUUUUUAUAAAACAGUCCCAGGUCUUUUCAGUGUCCAUGUGAGAUGAGAGUUGCUGCUGGCAACGCGAGAAAAUAAAUACAUAUUUGUCUCGUCUGUCUUCCUUGGCGUGGAAAUAGUGUCUUCCUGGAUAUCAGACCUGUAGAGAGACCAGAGAACAGACUUACUACAGAGAUACUACAGCACCCAGACUUACAAUCAAAACACCACAGCUAGCCUGAAAUACAGACCUGUUUUGUGCUAACAUUCCACUGCUUGUACUCUUGUGUCAUUUGUUUGGCACGACAAGGAGAUAGAUGAAGGUUAACACAAAGAGACUGGUACCCAGGCUAUGUCACAAACAGCAGCAGCUUGGAGAAAUACAGGCUUCCAUACAGUAUAGACGAGCACAGCUCUUAGCCCAGGCUCCAUAUUCAC